GGAGAGGUGUCCGAGUGGACGAUGGAGCGCGCCUGGAGAGCGCGUGGCGGAUAACCUUCGCUCGUGGGUUCGAAUCCCACCCUCUCCG
rnacentral:tRNA from 1 species